UGGAGCGUUUGAACCGGCUGGUUGCUAAGCUAAGGGAGCUAGGAGCAGCGUGUUCGAGGAGACGGCACAUGUUGUGAGCCACGCGGCACGGCGUCGGGGUGUGUGUUUACGGACGAGUCCAGAGGGACGGUUGCUUAUGCCGGUUGCCGACCAGGAACACGGAGGAGGUAUGUCGAGCCCUAUUAUGCAGUAUUCUCAGUAAUCCUUUGCGUUAUUAUAAAAUAACACAUUAUAAAUAAUGCUAUUGUUAAAGCGAACUGUAUAAUUCUAUUAAUAAGGAGCAUCCGGUGGGCUUAGGGUUAGCUUGGCUCGAUUGCGUUAGCCUUAUGGCUAACGGCCGCCAUUAGCACGACUGGAAGGUGGCAGUAUAUUGGGUGCUAGCUGCUGUUCUCUUUUUUUUUUUUUGUUCUUUUCCUUAAUGCUCCAACAAAUUAGUUUUUAACAUUAAAAUAUUUAACCGUAAUUGGUCUUGGUCAGGACUGCAGUGUGGGGGGGAACUACAUUAUUAACUUGUGCUGUGGUCACAGUGAUGAGUAUUGUGUGUAACGCUUGUCGGUGAUUUGGAAGUGCCAAAUAGGUUUUAUUUCUUUGGUUUGCUCUUGUACACGUGUGUUAAGUCGAGAGCUUUUGGUUAGUCCCCCAACUUCGUUGAUGCCUGACCAACCCAUAGACAUUUGAAAGUUUUAGCUAUCUCUUUUAAAGGAAUAAACUGACAGUGACUUGUAAAAUUCCAAACUGUAAUAAAGGAAAUUUUGUAUGUACUUUCAA